CCAUCAAAACCAUUGUCUUCUUCCCUUGGCUCCCCGAGUCUAUUCUCCUUCCCAUCAGAAGCAUCCUGGUCUUUCAUCUCACUAACUAGAAGAAUUCCCUAGACUAUCAUUCCUCCCUUGAAAACUUCCCAAGACAUCCAGAGUCCCUGCUGCUCAGUCUUCCAUAGUCAGUUUCUUUUCUAUCCUUCCUAUUUACUCUAUUUCCCAACUUCCUUCCCUGCUCUACUUCCUGAGGCAAUCAGUGCUUCCAGAAAGGCUUCCUUACUGCUUACCUAGGUGCUGGCCAUUGAGUCUUGUGUAGGCCUGCAACAUGCUCUUUCCCAGCCUUUCAGUCUGUCCUUUCAGAACUCUCCUUCAGUCCUGAUCUGUCUUUCCCACCCCUCAAGGGUCAAGUGCAUGUUCUUCUAGAGACUCCAACUCCCUCUGGGUGCAUAUAAUCCUGUGUUGAGGAUUGUAAAGAGGCA